rnacentral:rRNA from 1 species
CCCCUAGAUGUUCUGGGCCGCACGCGCGCUACACUGAACAGUUCAACAAGUCUUAACCUUGGCCGAUAGGUCUGGGUAAUCUUUGAACGCUGUUCGUUAUUGGGAUAGACCUUUGCAAUUAUGGGUCUUCAACGAGGAAUUCCUAGUAAACGCAAGUCAUCAGCUUGCAUUGAUUACGUCCCUGCCCUUUGUACACACCGCCCGUCGCACCUACCGAUUGAAUGGUCCGGUGAAAUCUCGGGACGGCGGCUUGGUCGCUUGCGUCCGACUGCUGAAACUUGAUUAAACCAUAUCAUUUAGAGGAAGGUGAANUCGUAACA